AGAUGACGACUGAAAAUAAUCAGAAUCAGUUCACUAGUCCAAGUGAAAUGGAUCCAGUUGUCAACAGUGGAAAGUGUCAAAAUCAUCGCCUUGUGUGCACAACAGUAUCCUCCUUGGACAAGUGCAUUCAGUGCAUAGGACCUGUAUCCUCCUUCAAGUGGCUUGGCUAUAAAUGCAAAGUUUGUUCAGGCAUCUGGCAUAAAUCCUGCCUCAGACAAAUUACAAAUGAGAACUUCCACCACCUGUCACAGGU